CCUACGGGGGGCUGCAGUGGGGAAUAUUGGACAAUGGGGGCAACCCUGAUCCAGCCAUGCCGCGUGUGUGAAGAAGGCCCUCGGGUUGUAAAGCACUUUCAGUGAGGAAGAACGCCUGGUGGUUAAUACCCAUCAGGAAAGACAUCACUCACAGAAGAAGCACCGCCUAACUCCGUGCCAGCAGCCGCGGUAAUACGGAGGGUGCGAGCGUUAAUCGGAAUUACUGGGCGUAAAGCGCGCGUAGGUGGCUUGAUAAGCCGGUUGUGAAAGCCCCGGGCUCAACCUGGGAACGGCAUCCGGAACUGUCAAGCUAGAGUGCAGGAGAGGAAGGUAGAAUUCCCGGUGUAGCGGUGAAAUGCGUAGAGAUCGGGAGGAAUACCAGUGGCGAAGGCGGCCUUCUGGACUGACACUGACACUGAGGUGCGAAAGCGUGGGUAGCAAACAGGAUUAGAUACCCUGGUAGUC
rnacentral:rRNA from 1 species